CCUGACUGCUAUCGGAUUGAUACUAAGCCAUGCGAGUCAUUGUAGUAAUACAAGGCAGACGGCUCAGUAACGCGUAGUCAACCUAACCUAUGGACGGGAAUAACCUCGGGAAACUGAGAAUAAUGCCCGAUAGAACAUUAUGCCUGGAAUGGUUUAUGUUCCAAACGAUUUAUCGCCAUAGGAUGGGACUGCGGCCUAUCAGUUUGUUGGUGAGGUAAUGGCCCACCAAGACUAUUACAGGUACGGGCUCUGAGAGGAGUAGCCCGGAGAUGGGUACUGAGACACGGACCCAGGCCCUAUGGGGCGCAGCAGGCGAGAAAACUUUGCAAUGUGCGAAAGCACGACAAGGUUAAUCCGAGUGGUUUCUGCUAAAGGAACCUUUUGUCAGUCCUAAAAACACUAACGAAUAAGGGGUGGGCAAGUUCUGGUGUCAGCCGCCGCGGUAAAACCAGCACCUCAAGUGGUCAGGAUGAUUAUUGGGCCUAAAGCAUCCGUAGCCGGCUCUGUAAGUUUUCGGUUAAAUCUGUACGCUCAACGUACAGGCUGCCGGAAAUACUGCACAGCUAGGGAGUGGGAGAGGUAGACGGUACUCGGUAGGAAGGGGUAAAAUCCUUUGAUCUAUUGAUGACCACCUGUGGCGAAGGCGGUCUACCAGAACACGUCCGACGGUGAGGGAUGAAAGCUGGGGGAGCAAACCGGAUUAGAUACCCGGGUAGUCCCAGCUGUAAACUAUGCAAACUCAGUGAUGCAUUGGCUUAUGGCCAAUGCAGUGCUGCAGGGAAGCCGUUAAGUUUGCCGCCUGGGAAGUACGUACGCAAGUAUGAAACUUAAGGAAUUGGCGGGGGAGCACMCAGGGUGAAKCCUGCGGUUC
rnacentral:rRNA from 1 species